AUAAUCCACACGCCCCACUAAAAAGCAAAGUCUGCAAGAGGCUGGGGAGGAAGCAAAGAAUUGAACAAGCUUCUUUUCGACUGUCCUGAUACGAUCUGCAGCAAAUUAAAAAAUGUCUGGAGUAGCACUAAAGCAGGCAGAAACUCAACUGAUGCAAGCAUAUUCAACGUUGCAAUUCCAAGUGGGAGAAAAGUGGAAGACAAGUAUCUCUGGUUUCUGAUAGCGAGUUUGCUGAUCUUCAAUGGACUUAAGAAAUACAGAAGUGAAAGCUGGACUGUCUGGUGAAGAACUUAUGUCCUGAUCUGUUUCUAAUUGGAAACUGGGAAAGAAGUUUCAGCAUUUAUUUUUCUUCACCACUCACUGGGACCAGAUACUUGCUCUCUGAAAUAAAGAACUGAAUUUAC